GCACAAGCGGUGGAGCAUGUGGUUUAAUUCGACGCAACGCGAAGAACCUUACCAGGGCUUGACAUCCCCUGACCGCGUAUGAAAGUACGUUUUCACCCUCGGGUGACAGGGAGACAGGUGGUGCAUGGUUGUCGUCAGCUCGUGUCGUGAGAUGUUGGGUUAAGUCCCGCAACGAGCGCAACCCCUACGUUUAGUUGCUAACAGGUGAAGCUGAGCACUCUAGACGAACUGCCGUUGACAAAACGGAGGAAGGUGGGGAUGACGUCAAAUCAUCAUGCCCUUUAUGUUCUGGGCUACACACGUACUACAAUGGCCGGUACAAAGGGCAGCCACUCAGCGAUGAGGCGCUAAUCCCAUAAAGCCGGUCUCAGUCCGGAUCGCAGUCUGCAACUCGACUGCGUGAAGUUGGAAUCGCUAGUAAUCGUAGAUCAGCAUGCUACGGUGAAUACGUUCCCGGGCCUU
rnacentral:rRNA from 1 species